CUUCAGGUCCCCGUUCGGGCGCCAGUUGCCGGGGGCCAGCCUCAGCAAAGAACAGGGUCACCAGAGGAAGG
rnacentral:miRNA from 1 species